rnacentral:rRNA from 1 species
GUAGGUGGCAAGCGUUGUCCGGAAUUAUUGGGCGUAAAGCGCGCGCAGGCGGUCCUUUAAGUCUGAUGUGAAAGCCCACGGGCUCAACCGUGGAGGGUCAUUGGAAACUGGGGGACUUGAGUACAGAAGAGGAAAGCGGAAUUCCAAGUGUAGCGGUGAAAUGCGUAGAGAUUUGGAGGAACACCAGUGGCGAAGGCGGCUUUCUGGUCUGUAACUGACGCUGAGGCGCGAAAGCGUGGGGAGCAAACAGGAUUAGAUACCCUGGUAGUCCACGCCGUAAACGAUGAGUGCUAAGCGUUAGGGGGUUUCCGCCCCUUAGUGCUGCAGCUAACGCAUUAAGCACUCCGCCUGGGGAGUACGGCCGCAAAGGCUGA